rnacentral:rRNA from 1 species
AGUUCGGAUUGUAGUCUGCAACCCGACUACAUGAAGCUGGAAUCGCUAGUAAUCGCGGAUCAGAAUGCCGCGGUGAAUACGUUCCCGGGUCUUGUACACACCGCCCGUCACACCAUGGGAGUUGGAAAUGCCCGAAGUCAGUGGCCCAACCGUAAGGAGGGAGCUGCCGAAGGCAGGUCCGGUAACCGGGGGUGAAGUCGUAACAAGGUACC